rnacentral:lncRNA from 1 species
CCUGCAGAAAUGUAUUCUCUGAGGACACUUAGAAUAUGAGGAAGAGGGUGUGGCCCAACCCUCACUUCACCUGGGAGGGGCUUCUUCCGGACAGUAGACACCCUGCCCCUGCAGAGAGAUGUCAUGGGGGCACCUGCUCUCCCUGAUAGAUGCUGAGAGCAUCCAGAAACUUCCAGACCAGCCCUCUCACCACACCCAGAAGAGGCCUUUCCCAUCUGGAGAGAAGCUUCCAGACCAGCCCUUCACACACCACAGCCAGGAGGGGCUGUUCCCACCUGGAGAGAAGCUUCCAGACCAGCCCCACACACCACAGCUAGGAGAGGCCAUUCCAACCUGGAGAGAAACUUCCAGACCAGCCCCGCACACCACUUCCAGGAGAGGCCUUUGCCACCCGGAGAGAAACUUCCAGACCAGCCCCUCACACCACAGCCAGGAGGGGCCUUUCCCACCUGGAGAGAAACUUCCAGACCAGCCCCUCACACCACAGCCAGGAGGGGCCUUUCUCACCUGUAGAGAAAUUUCCAGACCAGCCCCGCACACCACUGCCAGGAGGGGCCUUUCCCACCUGGAGAGAAACUUCCAGACCAGCCCCUCACACCACAGCCAGGAGGGGCCUUUCCCACCUGGAGAGAAAUUUCCAGACCAUCCCCUCUCACCACAGCCAGGAGAGGCCUUUCCCACCGGUAGAGAAACUUCCAGACCAGCCCCUCACACCACAGCCAAGAGGGGCCUUUCUCACCUGGAGAGAAAUUUCCAGACCAUCCCCUCUCACCACAGCCAGGAGAGGCCUUUCCCACCGGUAGAGAAACUUCCAGACCAGCCCCUCACACCACAGCCAAGAGGGGCCUUUCUCACCUGGAGAGAAAUUUCCAGACCAUCCCCUCUCACCACAGCCAGGAGAGGCCUUUCCCACCGGUAGAGAAACUUCCAGACCAGCCCCUCACACCACAGCCAAGAGAAGCCUUUCCGGCCUGGAGAGAAACUAACAGACCAGCCCUCUCACUACAGCCAGGAGAGGCCUUUCCCGCCUGGAAACUUCCAGACAAGUCCCUCACACACCACAACCAGGAGAGGCCUUUCCCACCUGGAGAGAAACUUCCAGACCAGCCCUUCAUACCACAGCCAAGAGGGGCCUUUCCCACCUGGAGAGAAACUUCCAGACCAGCCCCUCACACCACAGCCAAGAGAAGCCUUUCCAGCCUGGAGAGAAACUAACAGACCAGCCCUCUCACUACAGCCAGGAGAGGCCUUUCCUGCCUGGAAACUUCCAGACAAGCCCCUCACACACCACAGCCAGGAGAGGCCUUUCCUGCCUGGAGAGAAGCUUCAGACCAGCCCCUCACACCACAGCCAGGAGAGGCCUUUCCCACCUGGAGAGAAACUUCCAGACCAGCCCCUCUUACCACAGAUAGGAGAAGCCUUUCCCGCCUGGAGAGAAACUUCCAGACAAGCCCUCUCACUACAGCCAUGAGAGGCCUUUCCUGCCUGGAGAGAAACUUCCAGACCAGCCCUCUCACUACAGCCAGGAGAGGCCUUUCCCACCUGGAGAGAAACUUCCAGACCAGCUCCUCACACCACAGCCAGGAGAGGCCUUUCCAGCCUGGAGAGAAGCUUCCAGACCAGCCCCUCACACCAUAGCCAGGAGAGGCCUUUCCCACCUGGAGAGAAGCUUCAGACCAGCCCCUCACACCAUCGCCAGGAGAGGCCUUUCCCACCGGGAGAGAAACUUCCAGACCAGCCCCUCACACACCACAGCUAGGAGAGGCCUUUCCCACCGGGAGAGAAAUUUCCAGACCAGCCCCUCACACCACAGCCAGGAGAGGCCUUUCCCACCGGGAGAGAAGCUUCCAGACCAGCCCCUCACACCACAGCCAGGAGAGGCCUUUCCCACCGGGAGAGAAACUUCCAGACCAGCCCCUCACACCACAGCCAGGAGAGGCCUUUCCCACCGGGAGAGAAGCUUCCAGACCAGCCCCUCACACCACAGCCAGGAGAGGCCUUUCCCGCCUGGACAGAAGCUUCAGACCAGCUCCUCACACCACAGCCAGGAGAGACCUUUUCUGCCUGGAGAGAAGCUUCCAGACCAGCCCUUCACACCACAGCCAGGAGAGGCCUUUCCCACCUGGAGAGAAAUUUACCAGACCAGUCCCUCACACACCACAGUCAGGAGAGGCCUUUCCCACCUGGAGAGAAACUUCCAGACCAGCCCCUCACACACCACAGCCAGGAGAGGCCUUUCUCACCUGGAGAGAAGCUUCAGACCAGCCCUCUCACUACAGCCAGGAGAGGACUUUCCUGCCUGGAGAGAAACUUCCAGACCAGCUCCUCACACCACAGCCAGGAGAGGCCUUUCCAGUCUGGAGAGAAGCUUCCAGACCAGCCCCUCACACCAUAGCCAGGAGAGGCCUUUCCCACCUGGAGAGAAGCUUCAGACCAGCCCCUCACACCAUUGCCAGGAGAGGCCUUUCCCACCGGGAGAGAAAUUUCCAGACCAGCCCCUCACACCAUAGCCAGGAGAGGCCUUUCCCACCUGGAGAGAAGCUUCAGACCAGCCCCUCACACCAUUGCCAAGAGAGGCCUUUCCCACCGGGAGAGAAACUUCCAGACCAGCCCCUCACACCACAGCCAGGAGAGGACUUUCCCACCGGGAGAGAAGCUUCCAGACCAGCCCCUCACACCACAGCCAGGAGAGGCCUUUCCCACCGGGAGAGAAGCUUCCAGACCAGCCCCUCACACCACAGCCAGGAGAGGCCUUUCCCACCGGGAGAGAAACUUCCAGACCAGCCCCUCACACCACAGCCAGGAGAGGCCUUUCCCACCGGGAGAGAAGCUUCCAGACCAGCCCCUCACACCACAGCCAGGAGAGGCCUUUCCCACCGAGAGAGAAACUUCCAGACCAGCCCCUCACACCACAGCCAGGAGAGGCCUUUCCCACCGGGAGAGAAGCUUCCAGACCAGCCCCUCUCACCACAGCCAGGAGAGGCCGUUCCCACCUGGAGANNNNNNNNNNCACCACAGCCAGGAGAGGCCGUUCCCACCUGGAGGGAAAAUUGCUCCUUUGAUGGAGGUUACGGACUGUCACCCUCAGCACUGUGAACAUACCGAGCGAGAUCAUUCUUCAGGGGAAGGAGCUGCCCAGAGCAUCACAGGAUGUUCCAGUGUCCCUGGCCUCUGCCCACCAGAUGCCAGCACUCCCACCAUUCGUGGCAACCAAGGAUGUCUCCAGACACUGCCCCGUGUCCAUGGGGUUAUCACCCACUGCGCUGAGUCAAAGGGUGCCUGCCCUGGUCUAAUCCAGGACAUAGCCGUGGAUACGUCCACAAAUCCCCAGAACCUAGUGAGCCCUCUGGCUCUGGGAGCCCCUAUCUCAGGAAUUUUCAGGGCCAUUUAUGACUUUUCAUUUCUUAAAACCUGAAAUAGACUCUCUUAGAAACAAGUGACUCCUUCCCAGUGGCCAAAACUUAAUCAUCAGCGCGCUUCCUUCAGUUCCUCACCCAUCAGCCAGUGGGCUCUCCAAAGUUAACCAACAGCUCCCUCUUGUGGUUCACUAAAAAACUUCGUUAUUCCAUGGAGUUGUGCAAAGCUAUGGCUUCCUUGGUGCAAUAUUCUUAAAACCUGCUUUGCAUAGACAUCACUUUUUUCUUUUCUUUUUUUUUUUUUUUUGAGACAGAUUCUUGCUCUUUCGCCCAGGCUGGAGUGCAGUGGCGUGAUCUCGGCUCAUGGCAAUCUCCACCUCCCGGGUUCAAGCGAUUUUCCUGCCUCAGCCUCCCCAGUAGCCGGGACUACAGAUGUGUGCUACCACGCCCGGCUAAAUCUUUUUUGUAUUUUAUUUUAGUAGAGACGGGGUUUCACCAUACUGGCCAGGCUGCUCUCGAACUCCUGACCUCAUGAUCCACCCGCCUUGGCCUCCCCAAAGUGCUGAGAUUAGGCGUUAGCCACCGCGCCCGGCCAGAAAUCACUUUUAUAUUGUCACAUGGGCCCUCUGCACAGAGUCCGAUGGCUCCUCCCGGGGAAGCCUGAUCUUGUGACGUGUGUAUAGUAAAUGCUGGCCCUCUGGCAGCACCAUAAUUGGUCGGUUACCCUGAGCCCAGAGCUCUGAAAGCAUCUGUGGAAUGAUCACGGGACCCUUCUCUGAGAAGGCUCCCGGCUGCCUCCCCGCCACCGAGCUUGUAGCCUGACUGCCUGGCUGUUGCAUGGAGCAUUUUGCUUCUGGGGUGUCUUCCUUAGCCAAAGGGAAUGUGUCAUUUGCUCGACCCUUGCCGCCCAGCUGUUGUGCUGGGCACAGUCUGGGGCACAGGCCUCCAUGAUGAAGACGCGUGGGCUGUCGGUGCUUUCAUCCGUCACAAACUGGCACCUGUACCUGCCAGCAGGAGCAUGAUGGGGACUUCCAUGCUGUAAUUGCUCCCUGAUUAAAAUGAGAUAUGGCUAUUUGGAAGACACUGCAUUUUAGCCAGUGUACCUGGGCACAGACUCGGGGCCGCCCUGAAGCUGAUGAAGGCUUGAAGGACGGAAGGGCUGAGCCACAUGAAGGCAACACUCAGGGCCAGGGGAGAGAGAAGAGGAUCAGCAGUGCAGCCCCAGGACGCCUCUAAGGAUUGCAGCUAAAAGAUCUGACUGUGGCAUUGUAAACUGUAAGGAAUGUGUCAGUGAACCCAUGGCUAAGCCCACUCCCGGGCCUCGGUGGGGUCUGUGCACAGGUGUCAGAAGUGUGAGCUCCAUGAGCUUUACAGUGAAUCAGCUGUGGGGCACAGAGGGCAAGCCUUUCCUCCACCCUACGAAGGCUCCUUGAGAAACAACUGACCGAAGGCAGACCAAUAGGAAAAAGAAAAGCAUUCCAACGUAACGUGCAUGGCAUGGGGAAUUGCAGGAGAGUGAUGACCCCACAAACCAGUGAGGUCCAGGUGCUUCCACACCCUCAUAGGGAGACGGGAAAUGGGGGAAAUGUGGCUGUUUAGAGGGUAAAGCAUGAUUUAUAGGGGGAACGAAUCGAUCCAGAGGCAGGCACUGUCUUGGGAGUGAUCCUUCCCAGACUGGCCAAUCAGGUAUUUC